GACGAACGCUGGCGGCGCGCCUAACACAUGCAAGUCGAACGAGCGAGAGAGAGCUUGCUUUCUCAAGCGAGUGGCGAACGGGUGAGUAACGCGUGAGGAACCUGCCUCAAAGAGGGGGACAACAGUUGGAAACGACUGCUAAUACCGCAUAAGCCCACAGGUCGGCAUCGACCAGAGGGAAAAGGAGCAAUCCGCUUUGAGAUGGCCUCGCGUCCGAUUAGCUAGUUGGUGAGGUAACGGCCCACCAAGGCGACGAUUGGUAGCCGGACUGAGAGGUUGAACGGCCACAUUGGGACUGAGACACGGCCCAGACUCCUACGGGAGGCAGCAGUGGGGGAUAUUGCACAAUGGGGGAAACCCUGAUGCAGCGACGCCGCGUGGAGGAAGAAGGUUUUCGGAUUGUAAACUCCUGUCGUUAGGGACGAUAAUGACGGUACCUAACAAGAAAGCACCGGCUAACUACGUG
rnacentral:rRNA from 1 species